rnacentral:rRNA from 1 species
CCAAUAGCGUAUAUUAAAGUUGUUGCAGUUAAAAAGCUCGUAGUUGAACUUCGGGGUCUACCCAUUGGUCAGGCUUAAUUGUCUGCACUGGUGAGAUGGAUCUCUACCUUCUGAGGAACUUUCAUGCCAUUUAUUUGGUGUGAUGGGAAAUCAGGACUGUUACUUUGAAAAAAUUAGAGUGUUUAAAGCAGACUAUCGUCUGAAUACAUUAGCAUGGAAUAAUGAAAUAGGACGGACUGAUUCUAUUUCGUUGGUUUCUAGGAUCACCGUAAUGAUUAAUAGGGAUAGUUGGGGGCAUUAGUAUUCAAUUGUCAGAGGUGAAAUUCUUGGAUUUAUUGAAGACUAACUACUGCGAAAGCAUUUGCCAAGGAUGUUUUCAUUAAUCAAGAACGAAAGUUAGGGGAUCGAAGACGAUCAGAUACCGUCGUAGUCUCAACCAUCAACUAUACCGACUAGGGAUGGGUCCACGUUGUUUUAUCAUCGACUUCAUCCGCACCUUGUG